CUACGGGCGGCAGCAGGCGAGAAAACUUUGCAAUGUGCGAAAGCACGACAAGGUUAAUCCGAGUGGUUUGGGCGAAAAGACAAGGGGUCCCUUCCUCUCCCCACUGUUGAAUAAGGGGUGGGCAAGUUCUGGUGUCAGCCGCCGCGGUAAAACCAGCACCUCAAGUGGUCGGGAUGAUUAUUGGGCCUAAAGCAUCCGUAGCCGGCUCUGUAAGUUUUCGGUUAAAUCUGUACGCUCAACGUACAGGCUGCCGGGAAUACUGCAGAGCUAGGGAGUGGGAGAGGUAGACGGUACUCGGUAGGAAGGGGUAAAAUCCUUUGAUCUAUUGAUGACCACCUGUGGCGAAGGCGGUCUACCAGAACACGUCCGACGGUGAGGGAUGAAAGCUGGGGGAGCAAACCGGAUUAGAUACCCUCGUAGUC
rnacentral:rRNA from 1 species